GACGAACGCUGGCGGCGUGCCUAAUACAUGCAAGUCGAGCGGAUUGAUGGGAGCUUGCUCCCUGAUAUCAGCGGCGGACGGGUGAGUAACACGUGGGCAACCUGCCUAUAAGACUGGGAUAACUUCGGGAAACCGGAGCUAAUACCGGAUGAUCCCUUUCCUCUCAUGAGGAAAGGCUGAAAGAUGGUUUACGCUAUCACUUAUAGAUGGGCCCGCGGCGCAUUAGCUAGUAGGUGAGGUAACGGCUCACCAAGGCAACGAUGCGUAGCCGACCUGAGAGGGUGAUCGGCCACACUGGGACUGAGACACGGCCCAGACUCCUACGGGAGGCAGCAGUAGGGAAUCUUCCGCAAUGGACGAAAGUCUGACGGAGCAACGCCGCGUGAGUGAUGAAGGUUUUCGGAUCGUAAAACUCUGUUGUUAGGGAAGAACAAGUACGAGAGUAACUGCUCGUACCUUGACGGUACCUAACCAGAAAGCCACGGCUAACUACGUGCCAGCCGCCGCAGUAA
rnacentral:rRNA from 1 species